GACAGAGGAUGCAAGCGUUAUCCGGAAUGAUUGGGCGUAAAGCGUCUGUAGGUGGCUUUUUAAGUCCGCCGUCAAAUCCCAGGCUCAACCCUGGACAGGCGGUGGAAACUACCAAGCUGGAGUACGGUAGGGGCAGAGGGAAUUUCCGGUGGAGCGGUGAAAUGCGUAGAGAUCCGGAAGAACACCGGUGGCGAAGGCGGCCCCCGGGCCGGCCCUGACACUGAGACGCGAGGCGUG
rnacentral:rRNA from 1 species